UGAAAUAAUUUCUAAUAUUAAGAGUGGGAGAAAUCAAAGAAAUAAAUUAGCAUGGAAGAUUGUCCCAUUAUAUUAAAAAAAACUCUACAUCAGUGAAUAGGGGACACUAAAGUACACGAUAUAAACCAAAUAAAAAAAAACCAGUCUAAAGAAGAUAACUCUUCCGUAUUUUGCAGAAGCAAAAUUCUCCUCUCAAACCACAAUACUCUCACUACAAGCAUAACACAAUUCCACCAAUUCUUACACAUAUCACUACACAUAUCUAUUCCUCUCACACAAGUAAAAACUUCACAUACUGCAAUCUACACAGAACCUUUUUUCUAUCUUUGAGUCAAAAGUCAAAUCCUAGUUUUGUUAUUCUUCUAUAAAUGCCAUUAUCUCAACACCAAUAAACAACUUUUCAAGAAAAUCAAUUACCUCUAGAAACCAAUUUUCGUUCAACGUUAACAUCAUCUUCAUAAAACUUUCCAUACCUUCACUAACAUUCAUUCACAAUUCCAAAACAUAAAUCAAAAGAAUAUAAUUCAAUUUCGUAAACACUUGGAUUCAAAAAAAAAAAAAAAUAGAAGGAAGAGGAGAUCGAUACACCCACGAACACAACACUGCCAAAAGCUGCUUCCAAAUCACGACGCGUGUCGUCGAACUUCCAGUCGCUCUACCGACGAUGCCAGAUCCGGUCGUCAACGACCUUCCGACGAACAUCACACUCAACCUCAACAACAUCGCCGUUGAAGACGAAUACGACCACACCUCCCCUCAACCGUCGCUCUCCUCCCGCAGUCACCGCAGUUUCUUUCGAAUUCGUCAUAUUUUUGUGUCGAUGGAUGAUUGGUUGAGGGGUCCAAUUUGAGAACAAGAGAAAAUGAGAUGCUGUAUAAAUCAAUUGAAGAGCAUGAUAUGUUUUUUUUUACUUACUGAAGGUGCACUUGGAUUCCACAGUUAAAGUUACAUUUUAAUUGGUGUUUGAUUCAUAAUUCUUAAAAAAAUAUGAAAAUGUUUUAGUCUAUAAAAAAAUACAAAAUGUUUAAUUAAGUAUAAUUUAAAUUAGUAAUUAAUUAGCAUAAUUGGAAAUAAUUGGGUUAAUUUGAAAUUAAUUAGUUUAAAAAUUAGGAUAUCUCCUUUUAAAUAAUAAGGAAUAAAAAAUAGGUCUAAUCAUGGGAUAUUAUUUAAUUAGAGAAUUAGGAUUAAUUUAUGGGAUAACAUUCUAGGAAAAGUUCUAGGAUUUAUGGGAUAAAUUUCAGGGAUAAUUUCUAGGGUUUUAAGGGAUAUAAAUUAGGGAUAAAAUCGGGAUAUGGGAUACAUCUUAUUGCAUCUUAUUUAAUUUAUCUUUCUUAAUUAAAUUAAAUUAUAUUUUCAAAUCAAAUGGGACAAGAACAUGGUAUAAAACUCUAAGGUUUUCAAGGGUUAAAUCGGGAUAAAGGGUUAUAUCUAAUACAUAACUAUGACUCCUAAUUUAUUUUCUUAAAUAAAUUAAAACAAUAUUUUUUGCAAGGGAUAAAUGGAUAAAAUCAAUUCAAACUCACGUCAAAUCGUAAGACCUUUAUCCUAGUGUAUUAAGGCAUUUAAAAGAAACACUUCUCCGCCCCCGAUGCGUGAGAACUUUUAAGGGAUAAAAACAAUCAAUCAACCAACAUUUUAAAGAAGAACUACGGUACUCUGAUCCUUCGCCUAAUGCGAAGGUACGUAGGCAUAGAGUUUACAACAUCUCACCUUAAGGGAUGCCUAACACCUUCCUCUUAUUUAACUGACCCCCGAACCUAAUAUCUCACCUUAGUCAUAGGUUUUAUCAUUAUUUACCUGUUCCUUAGGAACGAAUAAAGGAUGGUGACAACUCUGUCAUUUUUCCAGCCGCAACACUUGCCUUGCUUGGAGCUCUCCCUAAGCUCGCUGAGCAAGGAUUCUGAUAUGUUAAAAGGUGAUUUGUGUUUUCCUUUCCACCAUAAAGCGAGAACCAUAACUUCGAUUGACACAAGGUCGAAUGCAUUGGAAAGCUAAUCAAUACUAUAUCCUUUAAUGAAGAAAUCAUGCAUGUAUAUUAAAUAAUCCUUGAUGAGUGGUGAUGAAUUAUUAUGCUUAUGUUAUGAACUAUAUUACAAAUUGUUGUUUGUCUUGAAUGGAUAAUGGUUGAAUUAACUAUGAUGAAAAGUGAGGCGAACCUAGGUUAAUAACUAGGUGAAUAAGCUAAUAACAAAGACAUAGGUUAUGAAAAUGACUUAGGUGGUGAUGCUUGGACGCGAAGAUACCUCAGUGUGUACCGUGGACGAGUAGUCGCUUGAAUUAUGAGUCAAUAGGCCUUGUAUGGAACAUGUUAUGAUGAUAUGAGAAUUGGUGAAUAUGAUCACCUAGUGAUUAAUGAGUGCAAUCACGUUGAAUGUUGGAACCUAAUCACGUAUUAAAAAAUAACCCUUGAUCGUGCACAUCCCAAUUGAGAUGCAUAUGUAAAGUAGAAUUGGGAUAUGUGCACCAAUGAUUCCUGCCUCACACUGGGUUUGAGUCUCAACUAUGGGUUGAGUCCCAUAGAGGAGAGGUGGACCUCUCGGUGGGUUCGAGUCCCAUACAAGGAAAUAUACUCUAAGUGGGUUCGAGUCCCAUACGAGUGACGGUUCUUGAUGUGGGUUCGAGUUCCACGGGGAACCUGCAUCCAUACAAAAGUAGAAUUAUACAAACAUAUGUCACAUAAGUCGUUCUCUAGACGUAGGUUCGGUCAGGGAAAUAUACUUUGUGAAAAUUUCUGAAUAAAUUGAGUAAUAUGAACUCAAAUUACAUGUUUUCAUACAAUGUGAAUAUCCCUUAGAUGCUCAAGUCCUUCUCUAUUGUAUAAGUGUACACAUUUAUUGUUUUACCGAGAAGCUUAAGUUGAGGUUUAAAUAUUAGCCCUUUAGAGUCGAGUGGACCCAUAAGAUAGGGAACCCACCGAGAUUAUUAUCUCCCCUCUUUAUUAUUGUUGCUUUUCAGGCGGUUCUUUGCAAGUGUAGGGCAAUGAUAAGCUUGCAUGAUGAUGUUUCAAAGGUUUUUGAUAUGAUGAUCUUCUCAUGUAUCUUGUGUGCAUAUAUGGAUAUUGUACAUAGAUAUUAUUUUUUGUCUAGGCACCUUUGUAUACCAUGUGCCAUAUUGUAUAUUAUUCGUUUCUACAUGUAUAUAUAAUAUUGCCGAUAGGCACUUAUGUGUAUCAGUACCAAAUUACAUUAUAUGUAAUAUAUUUUUUUAGAUGUAUAUUAUAUGAAGGUGUUA